rnacentral:rRNA from 1 species
ACAGGUGCUGCAUGGCUGUCGUCAGCUCGUGCCGUGAGGUGUUGGGUUAAGUCCCGCAACGAGCGCAACCCUAUUGCCAGUUGCUACCAGGUAAUGCUGGGCACUCUGGUGAGACUGCCCCGGUUAACGGGGAGGAAGGUGGGGACGACGUCAAGUCAUCAUGGCCCUUACGCCUAGGGCUACACACGUACUACAAUGGCGCAUACAAAGGGCAGCGAUACCGCGAGGUGGAGCCAAUCCCAAAAAGUGCGUCCCAGUCCGGAUUGCAGUCUGCAACUCGACUGCAUGAAGUUGGAAUCGCUAGUAAUUCGGAGAUCAGCAUGCUCGGGUGAAUGCGUUCCCGGGCCUU